rnacentral:SRP_RNA from 1 species
GCCGGGCGUGGUGGCGCGUGCCUGUAGUCCCAGCUACUUGGGAGGCUGAGGCUGGAGGAUCCCUUGAGUCCAGGAGUUCCGGGCUGCAGUGCACUAUGCCGAUCGGGUGUCCACACUAAAUUCAGCAUCAAUAUGGUGACCUCCUGGGAUCAGGGACCACCAGGUUACCUAAGGAGGGGUGAACUGGCCCCGGUUGGAAAUAGAGUGGGUCAAAACUCCCGUGCUGAUCAGUAGUGGGAUUGCACCUGUGAAUAGCCACUGCAGUCUAGCCUGGGCAACAUAGCAAGACCCCAUCUCU